rnacentral:rRNA from 1 species
CCUACGGGAGGCAGCAGUGGGGAAUAUUGCACAAUGGGGGGAAACCCUGAUGCAGCGACGCCGCGUGGAGGAAGAAGGUCUUUCGGAUUGUAAACUCCUGUUGUUGAGGAAUGAUAAUGACGGUACUCAACAAGGAAGUGACGGCUAACUACGUGCCAGC